CCACUCUGUGUUAGAUGCGAUCGCUAUAUUGUCAAUUUUCUCUUUUCUUAAGUUGUUUGAUUUUACGGUUUGAUGGUGGAUUAUGAGUGCUAACCUAAAUGUGAUUUAUUUUAUGAUUGCUAACGUAAUUGAUGCAAUCCUUCUUGCUUGGUUUCUGCAUUUCUAAAUGUCAAUUUCUAGGUGGCUGUGCAAUCUAUUGCUCAAGUUUGAUCAUUUUUCUUCCCCAAGAUGGGUAUCUGAAAAUGAGUAUUCAAUGCAAUAGAUUCUAUGUACAGAUCAUAUACCAAGAGAGAUUGAUGUAA